GUGCUCACUUCAGUGGCGCGUCUACUAAAACUGGACCGAUCCAGAGAACAUUAGCGUGGCCCCUGCGCAAGGGUGACUCACACAUGCGUGAGGCUUUAAAGAAAAGG